UAAUAUAUUAGCGCCGCAUGAGGCCUGUGAUUCGACAAGGAAAAGAGAGGCAGAGCUUCUCAGAAGAGAGGAGGAACCAAGAUGGAGGCAGACCCAACAGGAUGAUUCAGAACCAGCAUGGCUUUAAAUAGCCACAGAAUGGAAUGGAACACAUUCAAAAUAUCUUCUUGUGUCUCUGAUGCCCAGAAAAAGUCCAACAGACCUUUCAGGGUUUUGUACCUCUGUUCAACACACAUUUCUUGAAACUUCUACCUUCUCGCCAUCCUCAGGUCCUCCCUAAUAGAUAAAAGAGAACUGAACAAGAAGUGCUAUCUACACCUGGUGGAAAAACGCUUUUCAAAUCUGCAAGCUCAAGGUGCCCCUCAACCAUGUGGCAGGACACCCAUCUGGAGAAACACAUCUCCCUUGAGGUUUGGGAAUUCAAAAGAUGAAGCUACCCCAGAUAAAGUUCCAGGUGGUAUAAAAGAACAUGAAGGUUUUUUUGGUUGUUUUGUUUUUCAACUCCAGUGAUUCUGUGACUUUAUUACUCUUCUUCCCGAGCCUUAAAAAAAAAAAGUCAAGCUAAGUUGUAGCUCAUGUUCAGCCUCAAAACAUUAUGUUAUCAUAAUUUUCUAGAGGACACUAAAUACCAGGACAUUAUUGCAAGAACUGACCUGACUUAUAGGAUUAUUCUUAAGUCUACAAAUUAAAGCAUUUUAGAGAAAAUGUAUUGAUACCUCUAUAUUUUUCUCUUAAUGCAGCAAUUUGUACUUUUAGAAUAAGAGUUAAUUAACCUAGCCAUGAUCAGUUAACAUGCUAAUUAUCUUCCCUGCCCUCAAGUAAUCAUACUCCAAACUAUAGCAUGAGUACUAGGCCACAAAACAUUAUCUGAGUAGUCCUUGAAAGGGCUUUAUCAAUAUUUUAGUCUCUAAAUUUAACAAUUUUGGAUUCAAAUUCAGCCUUCGUUUCCACAUCCAAUUAUACUAUUUAUGCCUAUGGUACUUGUGGUGGUUUGAAUAGGAAUGGCUCUCAUAGACAUAUGUAUUUGAAUGAUUAAAUUGUGGGGAGCGACAGUAUUAGGAGAUGUGCCCUUAUUGGAGUAGGUAUGGCCUUGUUGGAGGAAGUGUGUCAUUGUGGAGAAGGACUUUGAGGUCAUAUAUUUUCAAGCUACACCCAUAAUGGUACACAGUCUCUCCUUGCUGCUUAUGGAUCAAGACGUAGACAUCUCAGGUCUGUGUUCAGCACCACGUCUGCCUGUAUGCUGCCAUGUUUUCCCCCAUGACA